UGUUAAAAAUUUCAUUCAUUUUUACUAUUAAAAACUGAUGUAACUGAUGGAAUAUCCAAACGGCAUGCCAUGUAUGCAUCAUGCUGACAUAUAUAGACCAGUUUUUAACGGUAGAAAUUGAUGAAAAAUUUAAAA
rfam:Gossypium hirsutum cultivar TM-1 unplaced genomic scaffold scaffold1142.1, whole genome shotgun sequence